AUUGAACGCUGGCGGCAUGCCUUACACAUGCAAGUCGAACGGCAGCGGACCUUCGGGUGCCGGCGAGUGGCGAACGGGUGAGUAAAGUAUCGGAACGUACCUUUCAGUGGGGGAUAACGUAGCGAAAGUUACGCUAAUGCCGCAUAUUCUGUGAGCAGGAAAGCAGGGGACCUUCGGGCCUUGCGCUGAUAGAGCGGCCGAUAUCAGAUUAGCUAGUUGGUGGGGUAAAAGCACACCAAGGCGACGAUCUGUAGCGGGUCUGAGAGGAUGAUCCGCCACACUGGAACUGAGACACGGUCCAGACUCCUACGGGAGGCAGCAGUGGGGAAUUUUGGACAAUGGGGGCAACCCUGAUCCAGCCAUGCCGCGUGAGUGAAGAAGGCCUUCGGGUUGUAAAGCUCUUUCGGCCGGGAAGAAAUCGCAUAGGCUAAUACCCUGUGUGGAUGACGGUACCGGAAUAAGAAGCACCGGCUAACUACGUGCCAGCCGCCGCGGUAA
rnacentral:rRNA from 1 species